rnacentral:rRNA from 1 species
CGUCCAAAUGCUUACACAUGCAGUCGAUUCAAGUUACUUUCGGGUAAUGAGGAUGGCGGACGGGUGAGUAACGCGUAAGGAACAUGCCUCUUGGACUGGGACAACUGUUGGAAACGACAGCUAAUACCGGAUAUUAUGAGAUUCUCGCAUGAGAAACUUAUGAAAGCUAUAUGCGCCAAGAGAGAGCCUUGCGUUCCAUUAGCUAGUUGGUGGGGUAACGGCCCACCAAGGCGACGAUGGAUAGCCGGCCUGAGAGGGUGAACGGCCACAAGGGGACUGAGACACGGCCCUUACUCCUACGGGAGGCAGCAGUGGGGAAUAUUGGACAAUGGGCCACAAGCCUGAUCCAGCAAUUCUGUGUGCACGAUGAAGGUCUUCGGAUUGUAAAGUGCUUUCAGUUGGGAAGAAGAAAGUGACGGUACCAACAGAAGAAGCGACGGCUAAAUACGUGCCAGCAGCCGCGGUAAUACGUAUGUCGCAAGCGUUAUCCGGAUUUAUUGGGCGUAAAGCGCGUCUAGGCGGAAAAAUAAGUCUGAUGUUAAAAUGCGGGGCUCAACUCCGUAUUGCGCUGGAAACUGUUUUUCUAGAGCACUGGAGAGGUGGGCGGAACUACAAGUGUAGAGGUGAAAUUCGUAGAUAUUUGUAGGAAUGCCGAUGGAGAAGUCAGCUCACUGGGACAGAUACUGACGCUGAAGCGCGAAAGCGUGGGGGAGCAAACAGGAUUAGAUACCCUGGUAGUCCACGCCGUAAACGAUGAUCACUAGGUGUUGGGGGUCGAACCUCAGCGCCCAAGCUAACGCGAUAAGUGAUCCGCCUGGGGAGUAUGCACGCAAGUG